CAAGACUAACCUCUACCUCACAUACCUGUCUCUUGCUCUCUCCUAAAGGGUAGCCCACCUUAUUUGACUGCAAGUUCCUGUCCUAAUGUGUUUUACACCCCAUCUCCUAAAGAAUGUAAGCUCAAUUGAGCAGGGUUCUCUUCAACCUAUUGUUCCCGUAAGUUUUUUGUAAUUGUUCUAUUUAUAGUUAAAUCCCCCUCUCAUAAUAUGGUAAAGUGCUACGGAAUCUGUUGGCGCUAUAUAAAUGAUAAUAAUAAUAAUAGCCUAUCUCUAAUAUAGAGAUCUGAGCUUAAAUUAUUUCCAUAAGUCUCCCAGUGGGAUAAGGUAAUAUUUUUUAUAUAUAUCGAAACCAUUUCAAUAGGGGAUGCAUAUGAG